rnacentral:rRNA from 1 species
UACAGAGGUCUCAAGCGUUGUUCGGAUUCAUUGGGCGUAAAGGGUGCGUAGGCGGUGCCGUAAGUUGGGUGUGAAAUUUCGGAGCUUAACUCCGAAACUGCAUUCGAUACUGCGGUGCUUGAGGACUGGAGAGGAGACUGGAAUUCAUGGUGUAGCAGUGAAAUGCGUAGAGGUCAUGAGGAAGACCAGUGGCGAAGGCGGGUCUCUGGACAGUUCCUGACACUGAGGCACGAAGGCCAGGGGAGCAAACGGG